GGUUAGAUGGCUGAGGUUUAGGCGGUAAAUUGUAAAUUUAUAGACGGAGAGAUGCUCCUUUAAUCA
rnacentral:tRNA from 1 species